AUAAACACAUAAUUCACCACUAAUAACAUAAAUAUACUUAUUUAAAAUAUUUUGUACAAUAUAUUGUACAAUUUGAUUGAAUGGAUUUGUUUAACGGAACAAAAACACAAAUUAAACGUGCUGAAAGUUGGAAAUGUAAAUUGUUGCAUCCAAAGAAAGACGAGGAUAGUGAUGUUUGCGACGGUGGCCGUGGCGGCGGCUGCAGGGGGCGGGUGACACGCCUGUUGCGUGGCGUAGGCGCAUCCCGGCGGAUAUAAAAGAUGCCGGCAGCGGCAGUGCGGCCCGCAUACAGAAAUCCAAAACCGAAUCGCACCGGUCUGCACCCCUAUCAUCCAAGUUAACAAUCAACAAGUUCUUCGUCUGUUAAACACCAUAGUGUUGUUAAAAAUUCGGAGUUUGACUGAUUGAAGGAUUUAUCACAGAUUAAAAUGCAUCAAUAUACGUGUUUGGCGAUGACAUGCAGCGCGCUGCUCUUGGUUCUUGCCUCCUCCUCAUCAGCAUCCACGAUUCCGGUGAUUGUCUGCCCUCCGGGACUCAAAGAAGUCCCAGCGAGUAUCCGCCAUUUGUGUGUGGCCUCCUGGCGGAACGUGACACUCCGCCGGAAGAAGGUGACAUCAUCGAGGCGCCCUACUACUCCGCGCACCCGGCCGACACCAGGGGCGUGAAACGGCAGGACGUCGAUCACGUCUUCCUGCGAUUCGGGCGGCGGAAUGGCCUCUAGAGCCCUGCCUCCACAGACCGUGAUUGAUCUCCGCGGCGUUAACUCGAACAUAUUAAUGGACCUUCCUACAAAUUUCCCUCAACUAACACACUGUCACUGACACACACAUAUACACUACAUUCAUUAAAAGGUGGCUAAUCAACACCCCCACAAGCGGACUGAUGAAAUGUUUCUCAUGGAACUCGUUUGCGGCUUUCAUUCUUCGCUUCGUGCAUGAUUGUACAAAUUGAAACAACAACCAAGCAACAACUAACCACUAAUGUUUUAUUGCCAGAUGUAAAUUGAAUUUAUUUAUUAUACUAAUUAUUCGUUUUUAAAUGUACUAGUAGAUUUAGAGAAUAAUAAAGAAUAAAAUUGGCAAAAUA